rnacentral:tRNA from 1 species
UCCCUGGUGGCUUAGAGGGUAGAGCAUCUGCUUGCAAUGCAGGAGACCGGGGUUCAGUCCCUGGGUCGGGAA